CUUUUGGGAGGCUUUGGAGUAGCAAAUUCCCCCUGGAUAUAGUGAUGCCACCACCACCCACACGGCUCAGUGUCACCACAGCCUCUGCUCUGCCACUGCUGACACCAACUUGACCUUUCCCAAAGAUUUUUUUACAUUGUUUGAUUCCUGUGCCAAUAUCAAAUUUGUGCUGAAUCUUUUAAAUUGACACCAUAUGGCUCUUUAUAUUGACAGGGCCAUUUUUCCCUGAAUGAGGAUAACAGGAAUUUACUGAAAUUAUAAUUUAAAGCUAAACACAAAAUAGGCAAUGUAAAUAAAACUGUUUCCAAAAAUAGUUAGAACAAAACAGCUGUGAAAUUAUAUUGAAAGGAAGAGCAGGAACUGAGGUGGGGAUGGUUAUAACAAAUUAUAGAUUAUCAAUUUCAUGGCAGAUGGAAACAGGGUUUGGUUGGGUGCAUCCAUAGCUUCAGCUCCUCCCUGCCUCGUGCAGUGAAAUGAGCCCUGUGAGCACUGACACGUUACAGGUAUGGCUAAAAGAGGGAAAAAAAAAAAAAAGAAUUUAAUAUAUUCCAUGUUCUGAAUGAUGAUGUGUCCAUGGGAAUAGGCCAAAUGCAGAAAUGAGAUUGGCAAAUUGCAAUUUGGCAAAUUGCAGCCAAACCACAGCAGCAUCCAUGGAACCGUGAUCCAGUUCCUGAUGCCGCAGCAGCCAAUGGCUCCGCUCCCAUCCUGAGCUGGGGAAAAGGAAAAGCUCUGGAGGUGCUGCUCAAACAUCACCAAGUCUCUCCCACAGGAAUGGAGACCUGAGAGCUGCUCCUCAGGAAAUUCAUAACUCCAUGGUGUGCCAAGACAUACAGCUCCUUGUUGUGGUUGUCCUGUCACGAGAGCACUUCUACCCUUGUGCUGGAAUCCAGCAGAACUACAAGCUCUGAGGAGGAAAGGGAGCAUCUCUUACUUCUGGGACAGAGUUUUCCAGUGUCCUCUUUACAGCAAGUCCUUCAUUCUGGCUUCUAAAAUCUGAAUAAAAAUAAAAUCAGUUUUCA
rnacentral:lncRNA from 1 species